UUAAUGUGGCAUGUAAAUGUUGGGUAAUAAACUGAUUUAUUUCAGACAGGCCUGUUCUUGAUUGCCCUUUAUGCUGAACUAGUUCCACUAGCUAAUGAAUAUUUGUUAGCUCGUCGUUCGCCCAAUGGAAUGUCGAAGGCUUGGCUUAUGAAUAUUAUUUUAGGAUGCGUCAAUGGAAGGCUACUGAGCGACGUCAGCAGCGGCUACUGUAAAAUUCAUGAGCGCCGCAGCACAAAUGCACGUCUACUUCCAAAUUAGGAUGAAAACUGUUGUUUUGACAGCAGUUGUGAAAUGUUUUUCUCUCGUCUAGUUAAAGGAACGCCUAUAUGCAAACUUGACUGUGCAGUCUUUAUUCCUUUUUAAAGGCGGAUUUCAAGUGCACAAAAGAAAGAUUUAGUUGCUUCUUAAUUAAACUUCGGAUUACAUCAUUUAGAGUACACUUGAGCAAAUGUUGCGCUCUUUUCGAGGUCACACCUGGGAGAGUUGGGAUUGGGAUCCGGACAGUAAAUCUCCUGAUGCUCAUCUCUCUCUAUGCCGACAAGCGGUAUAUUUUCAUGUCAGCCCUGUGUUGGACAGUCAGGGUACUGCAGGGGUCAGAGGCACCAAAGGUUUCACUCGUGGUGAGCAUUACUGGGAGAUUGAGUUCCUAGAGCCUCCUUAUGGGUGCUCUGUGAUGGUGGGGGUUGGUACCCAAAAUGCACUUCUGCAUAAAGGGGAUCAAAAGUUUGUUAACCUCAUUGGUGAGUACAGUCAUGUUCCUCUUAGGAAUGCUCAUGUUCUUCUCCCAAUUCAGCCCAGCCCAGCCCAGACCUAAACUCCCAUAGGUUGAUCUUACUUGACAACCUAAAAAUGAAUAACAUCAUCUAAUUUUCAAACAGGAAUUUUAAUUAUCAACACCACCU
ensembl:lncRNA